rnacentral:tRNA from 2 species
GGAAGGUUAACCCUAAUCGGUAAGGGCGCAGUCUUGAAAACUGCUGCGUGAAAACGCUUGAGAGUUCGACUCUCUCACCUUCCGCCA